rnacentral:rRNA from 1 species
CAGCCGCCGCGGGAAUACGAAGGGGGCUAGCGUUGCUCGGAAUCACUGGGCGUAAAGGGUGCGUAGGCGGGUCUUUAAGUCAGGGGUGAAAUCCUGGAGCUCAACUCCAGAACUGCCUUUAAGACUGCAUCGCUUGAAUCCAGGAGAGGUGAGUGGAAUUCCGAGUGUAGAGGUGAAAUUCGUAGAUAUUCGGAAGAACACCAGUGGCGAAGGCGGCUCACUGGACUGGUAUUGACGCUGAGGUGCGAAAGCGUGGGGAGCAAACAGGAUUAGAUACCCCGGUAGUCCCUGUCUCUUAUAA